CUCAGCAGCAGCUUUGAUCUCAUGAUCAGUAUCCCAGUCAGUAGCCUGGAGGAGGAGGAGCAGCUUCCAAUGAAGGGCUUUCUUGUGAGAAUGCAUAACAUUUGUGUUUAUAGCCCAGUGGCCAGUACUUAGUUUUAUUUCCAAGAUAAAACUGAAGAUAAAUCUGUAUGUCAUGGAGAUGAGCAGUCUCAGCAGCAGACAGUUGCUUCUAUUUUCCAGGAGGGCUGAGGGGAAAAGCUGGCGCAAUUCAACAGAGGGAGGAAAUGGGAACUGAAGCCAAGGCUCACAGGACAAAGAGAACCUUCCAAAUGGGCUACUUUGGAUAUAGCGCAGAAGAGUAAACACUGACCAAGAACGUGGAAUCAAAUGAAGGUCCAUCAGGAAUGAUGGCUUUCGAGGUAAUGACCCGCAGCCCGCUACUGGCUCAGCACACUGAACUGGAGCUCUGCAGAGAAACAGAACCAACACAUAAAGAGAUUUAUAAGGUGCUGGCACGAAGUUCAGCAGCCUGAGGAGAUCCACAAUCUGCUGUCUGCAAGGCAAACAAGCAGGAAAGCAGA